GGCCCACCGAGCCGAUAAUUGGUACGGGGUGUGAGAGCACGAGCCCGGAGACGGAAUCUGAGACAAGAUUCCGGGCCCUACGGGGCGCAGCAGGCGCGAAACCUUUACACUGCACGAACGUGCGAUAAGGGGACUCCGAGUGCGAGGGCAUACAGUCCUCGCUAUUGUGUACCGUAGGGUGGUACACGACCAAGAGCUGGGCAAGACCGGUGCCAGCCGCCGCGGUAAUACCGGCAGCUCGAGUGAUGGCCGAUUUUAUUGGGCCUAAAGCGUCCGUAGCU
rnacentral:rRNA from 1 species